rnacentral:rRNA from 1 species
GAUCCUGGCUCAGGAUGAACGCUGGCGGCGUGCUUAACACAUGCAAGUCGAACGAUGAAGCCCAGCUUGCUGGGUGGAUUAGUGGCGAACGGGUGAGUAACACGUGAGUAACCUGCCCUUAACUCUGGGAUAAGCCUGGGAAACUAGGUCCUAAUACCGGAUAGGAGCGCCUACCGCAUGGUGGGUGUUGGAAAGAUUUAUCGGUUUUGGAUGGACUCGCGGCCUAUCAGCUUGUUGGUGAGGUAAUGGCUCACCAAGGCGACGACGGGUAGCCGGCCUGAGAGGGUGACCGGCCACACUGGGACUGAGACACGGCCCAGACUCCUACGGGAGGCAGCAGUGGGGAAUAUNGCACAAUGGGCGAAAGCCUGAUGCAGCGACGCCGCGUGAGGGAUGACGGCCUUCGGGUUGUAAACCUCUUUCAGUAGGGAAGAAGCGAAAGUGACGGUACCUGCAGAAGAAGCACCGGCGAACAC